GGAAAAGCAGAGGCAUUUAACUCUGCACUGGACUGGGAAUGCUGGGAGUGCUUCAGAUGCUAAAUACCAGCAGACAUUGGUUUCCAGAACCUCGUCUGAGGAACAGUGAGGAAAGCUGCAGAGGCUGCCAUGCUCUGAGCAAACAGACUCUCAAGCAGAGUUUCAAUGUAAAGCUCUAAACUUGGCAUCUGCAGUUUUCAAUGAAGAUCACAUGCUUUUGGAUUCUUGGAAAAAAUGGUUAAGCAGCUCAUUACAUACACAGCAUAUAUUAUUUUUCCAUGCUGCUUCAUCCAGCUCAAUCCUAUGGGACACAAAGGCUGCCUGAGAAAUGGGCAAUGCUGUUGAUUCCCAAUGAAACCAUUAUAAGCAGGAAAAUUCUAAGCCCUCAGGGAUGUGGAAACUCAAACCUUACAUCCCUUCCCACCUUUACAACGGCUGCACAGCUCUAAACCUCUCGUCCCUGUGAAAGCUUGGGCUUCUCUUCAGCUGAAGACACAGAAAUCUGCUUAGACUGCCUUUAAUAAUACAGAGUAUGGUCUUAACUCAGUGCUUCCAAAGCUAUUUUUUCCUAGCUCCUUCUUCCCUCGUAAAUUCUGUCCCUUGCUUUAAUUGGCUCAGCCCAAACCCACAAUAAGUUGGUUAUCCUGCUUCCAUACUGGGAGCCAGCUCGUGUCCUCCCCUCACUGCUGUCCUGAGCUGGUUUUGCAGCCCCCUUCACUCCCACUGGGGUGGGGACAAGCUCUACAGCGUGGGAAUAGCUGCCAUAAUUAAACUGUUUAAAACUGA